AACUAAUAUAAAUGUUCAGUGACUUAUUCUGAAGCUUUGUGUGAUUUUUGGAAAAAUUUGUUUAAGCUAAAUGAAAGAAGAAAAGAAAACAACAUAGUUGUUCAUUCUAAUCCAGUUAACAAAGUGGUUUGAUAUUUUGGAAAGGAAUCUGACAGAAUGAUCUUGGUAAAGCUUUAGAAGAACUUAAGAAUGCAGAUUUGAAGAAUUGAACACAAAAAAUCUGGUUUGAUGAAAAAAUCCUUCUAUCACAAAUGUUGAAGCAUGUUUCAAAAGGACAGAAAUUAUUCUAUUUCUCUUGAAGAUGACGUUGAUGAGAACAAGUAAAUGAGACAUAAAUACAAUAAGCAGAAUUUUCUUUAACAGCUGCAACUACUUGGAAUCUC
rnacentral:lncRNA from 1 species